rnacentral:rRNA from 1 species
UACGAAGGGAGCUAGCGUUGUUCGGAAUCACUGGGCGUAAAGCGCACGUAGGCGGACGUGUCAGUCAGGGGUGAAAUCCCGGAGCUCAACUUCGGAACUGCCUUUGAUACAGCACGUCUUGAGUCCGGAAGAGGUGGGUGGAAUUCCUAGUGUAGAGGUGAAAUUCGUAGAUAUUAGGAAGAACACCGGUGGCGAAGGCGGCCCACUGGUCCGGUACUGACGCUGAGGUGCGAAAGCGUGAGGAGCAAACAGG